CUACGGGUUGCUGCAGUGAGGAAUAUUGCACAAUGGGGGGAACCCUGAUGCAGCAACGCCGCGUGGAGGAUGACGCAUUUCGGUGUGUAAACUCCUUUUAUAUGUCAAGAAAAUGACGGUAGCAUAUGAAUAAGCACCGGCUAACUGCCGUGCCAGCAGCCGCGGUAAGACGGAGGGUGCAAGCGUUACUCGGAAUCACUGGGCGUAAAGGACGCGUAGGCGGGUUGGAAAGUCAGGUGUGAAAUCCUACAGCUUAACUGUAGAACUGCACUUGAAACUUCUAAUCUAGAGUAUGGGAGGGGAGAUGGAAUUAGUGGUGUAGUGGUAAAAUCCGUAGAUAUCACUAGGAAUACCUAAAGCGAAGGCGAUCUCCUGGAACAUUACUGACGCUAAGGCGUGAAAGCGUGGGGAGCAAACAGGAUUAGAUACCCCUGUAGUC
rnacentral:rRNA from 1 species